rfam:Serratia symbiotica genome assembly, type strain CWBI-2.3T, contig: SYMBAF_Contig_8
CCAGGAAGUACUGAUAGUGGCGGAUCGUCAGAACAACGAUUCGCGUUGCAUAGACAAACGGUCAUCCACAAGAAGUUAUCGACGUUAAUCUGCACGCAUAAGCAGCUAGCGAUAUUCUUUAGUUUUGGAAGUGAUGUACGGAGCACAAGAGCAAUGAAAUUACCGAUUUAUCUGGAUUACUC